UUCCCCUAGUAACUGCGAGUGAAGCGGGAAAAGCUCAAAUUUAAAAUCUGGCAGUCUUUGGCUGUCCGAGUUGUAAUCUAGAGAAGUAUUAUCCGCGCUGGACCGUGUACAAGUCUCCUGAAAUGGGGCAUCAUAGAGGGUGAGAAUCCCGUCUUUGACACGGACUGCCAGGGCUUUGUGAUGUGCUCUCAAAGAGUCGAGUUGUUUGGGAAUGCAGCUCAAAAUGGGUGGUAAAUUCCAUCUAAAGCUAAAUAUUGGCGAGAGACCGAUAGCGAACAAGUACCGUGAGGGAAAGAUGAAAAGAACUUUGGAAAGAGAGUUAAACAGUACGUGAAAUUGCUGAAAGGGAAACGCUUGAAGUCAGUCGCGUUGGCCAGGGAUCAACCUUGCUUUUUUUUUGCUUGGCUUACUUUCUGGUCGACGGGUCAGCAUCAAUUUUGACCGGUGGAAAAAGUUCAAGGGAAUGUGGCAUCUUCGGAUGUGUUAUAGCCUUUGUUCGCAUACAUCGGUUGGGAUUGAGGAACUCAGCACGCCGAAAGGCCGGGUUUUUAACCACGUACGUGCUUAGGAUGCUGGCAUAAUGGCUUUAAUCGACCCGUCUUGAAACACGGACCAAGGAGUCUAACAUGCCUGCGAGUGUUUGGGUGAAAAACCCGAGCGCGUAAUGAAAGUGAAAGUUGAGAUCCCUGUCAUGGGGAGCAUCGACGCCCGGAUCUGACCUUUUGUGACGAUUCUGCGGUAGAGCAUGUAUGUUGGGACCCGAAAGAUGGUGAACUAUGCCUGAAUAGGGUGAAGCCAGAGGAAACUCUGGUGGAGGCUCGUAGCGAUUCUGACGUGCAAAUCGAUCGUCAAAUUUGGGUAUAGGGGCGAAAGACU
rnacentral:rRNA from 1 species